GAUGAACGCUGACAGAAUGCUUAACACAUGCAAGUCGAUGGGGAAGUGGUGCUUGCACCAUGGUAACCAUGGCGGACGGGUGAGUAACGCGUAAGGAACUUACCUGCGGGACCGGGAUAACAGCAGGAAACUGCUGACAAGACCGGAUAAGGUCAUUAAGCUGCAUAGCUUAGUGAUGAAAGGAGACGCCUGCGGAGAGCCUUGCGUCCUAUUAGCUAGUUGGGGGGGUAACGGCCCACCAAGGCGAAGAUAGGUAGCCGGCCUGAGAGGGUGGACGGCCACGAGGGGACUGAGAUACGGCCCUGACUCCUACGGGAGGCAGCAGGGGGGAAUAUUGGACAAUGGGGGAAACCCUGAUCCAGCAAUUCGGUGUGCACGAAGACGGUUUUCGGAUUGUAAAGUGCUUUCAGCAGGGAAGAAGGAAGUGACGGUACCUGCAGAAGAAGCGACGGCUAAAUACGUG
rnacentral:rRNA from 1 species